rnacentral:rRNA from 1 species
GGGUUGUGAGGUUAAGCGACUAAGCGUACACGGUGGAUGCCCUGGCAGUCAGAGGCGAUGAAGGGCGUGCUAAUCUGCGAUAAGCGCCGGUAAGGUGAUAUGAACCGUUAUAACCGGCGAUACCCGAAUGGGGAAACCCAGUGUGACUCGUCACACUAUCAUUAACUGAAUCCAUAGGUUAAUGAGGCGAACCGGGGGAACUGAAACAUCUAAGUACCCCGAGGAAAAGAAAUCAACCGAGAUUCCCCCAGUAGCGGCGAGCGAACGGGGAGGAGCCCAGAGCCUGAAUCAGCAUGUGUGUUAGUGGAAGCGUCUGGAAAGGCGCGCGAUACAGGGUGACAGCCCCGUACACAAAAGCGCAUGUGCUGUGAGCUCGAUGAGUAGGGCGGGACACGUGGUAUCCUGUCUGAAUAUGGGGGGACCAUCCUCCAAGGCUAAAUACUCCUGACUGACCGAUAGUGAACCAGUACCGUGAGGGAAAGGCGAAAAGAACCCCGGCGAGGGGAGUGAAAAAGAACCUGAAACCGUGUACGUACAAGCAGUGGGAGCACAGGUUUACCUGUGUGACUGCGUACCUUUUGUAUAAUGGGUCAGCGACUUAUAUUCUGUAGCAAGGUUAACCGAAUAGGGGAGCCGGAGGGAAACCGAGUCUUAACCGGGCGUUAAGUUGCAGGGUAUAGACCCGAAACCCGGUGAUCUAGCCAUGGGCAGGUUGAAGGUUGGGUAACACUAACUGGAGGACCGAACCGACUAAUGUUGAAAAAUUAGCGGAUGACCUGUGGCUGGGGGUGAAAGGCCAAUCAAACCGGGAGAUAGCUGGUUCUCCCCGAAAGCUAUUUAGGUAGCGCCUCGUGAAUUCAUCUCCGGGGGUAGAGCACUGUUUCGGCUAGGGGGCCAUCCCGGCUUACCAACCCGAUGCAAACUGCGAAUACCGGAGAAUGUUAUCACGGGAGACACACGGCGGGUGCUAACGUCCGUCGUGAAGAGGGAAACAACCCAGACCGCCAGCUAAGGUCCCAAAGUCAUGGUUAAGUGGGAAACGAUGUGGGAAGGCCCAGACAGCCAGGAUGUUGGCUUAGAAGCAGCCAUCAUUUAAAGAAAGCGUAAUAGCUCACUGGUCGAGUCGGCCUGCGCGGAAGAUGUAACGGGGCUAAACCAUGCACCGAAGCUGCGGCAGCGACGCUGAUGCGUUGUUGGGUAGGGGAGCGUUCUGUAAGCCUGCGAAGGUGGCCUGUGAGGGUUGCUGGAGGUAUCAGAAGUGCGAAUGCUGACAUAAGUAACGAUAAAGCGGGUGAAAAGCCCGCUCGCCGGAAGACCAAGGGUUCCUGUCCAACGUUAAUCGGGGCAGGGUGAGUCGACCCCUAAGGCGAGGCCGAAAGGCGUAGUCGAUGGGAAACGGGUUAAUAUUCCCGUACUUGGUGUUACUGCG